CUCGUAGGUGGCCAACUAAGUCAGACGUGAAAUCCCUCGGCUUAACCGGGGAACUGCGUCUGAUACUGGAUGGCUUGAGUUUGGGAGAGGGACGCGGAAUUCCAGGUGUAGCGGUGAAAUGCGUAGAUAUCUGGAGGAACACCGGUGGCGAAGGCGGCGUCCUGGACCAAUACUGACAUUGAGGAGCGAAAGCCAGGGAGCAAACG
rnacentral:rRNA from 1 species